rnacentral:rRNA from 1 species
CCUACGGGAGGCAGCAGUGGGGAAUAUUGGACAAUGGGGGGAACCCUGAUCCAGCGACGCCGCGUGAGUGCAGAAGUAUUUCGGUAUGUAAAGCUCUAUCAGCAGGGAAGAAAGAAAUGACGGUACCUGACUAAGAAGCCCCGGCUAACUACGUGCCAGCAGCCGCGGUAAUACGUAGGGGGCAAGCGUUAUCCGGAUUUACUAGGUGUAAAGGGAGCGUAGACGGCGAUGCAAGUCUGAAGUGAAAGGCGGGGGCCCAACCCCCGGACUGCUUUGGAAACUGUAUGGCUGGAGUGCAGGAGAGGUAAGUGGAAUUCCUAGUUUAGCGGUGAAAUGCGUAGAGAUUAGGAGGAACACCAGUGGCGAAGGCGGCUUACUGGACUGUAACUGACGUUGAGGCUCGAAAGCGUGGGGAGCAAACAGGAUUAGAUACCCGAGUAGUC